rnacentral:piRNA from 1 species
UCCACUGGUCAGUGGAUGAGUAAGGUGUU